AAUGACUAAUAAAUCAAUGCCUCUGCGGGGCCGAUAACGAAAACAUAAAAACAACCACAAAAUCAACUAAAAACAAUCACAAAAUCAACCAAUUAAGAUGAUGAAGAUGGGGAUCUACUUCCUGUCUCUGGUUCAAUCAUAACCAAUUGAGACGGAUGGGUGUGGAUAUUGAGUUUAGUGGAUUCGUUGGAGGUCUCGGAUGUCAGGGCUCAUAAUUGAAGAGCUGAAGAACAUCCAUGGCGUGGUUUACGAGGCAGAGGUUCGGGCGGCGUCGAGAGAAAUGGGAAAAGAGGGGGGAGAACGGAAGAGAUGAGACGCCUGAGAGAGGGGAGAGAAUGAUGUUUUCACAACGGCGUGUGUCGGCAUGAGGUGUGGCCUGUAGUUUCAAGAGUGAGAGAUCGCGAGGAAAGUUUUGCAGAUUAGAAGAUGAAGACAGCGAAACUCCCAGAAGCAAG
rnacentral:lncRNA from 1 species